rnacentral:lncRNA from 1 species
UAAUCUUAUCUAAAUCAUCCAGCAAGCCUAAAGGGAUACGUGUCGAGUCUACAUUCAAAAUAUAUUCAGGAAAAGGACAUCUGCCUCGG